rnacentral:rRNA from 1 species
UACGGGGGGGGCAAGCGUUGUUCGGAAUUACUGGGCGUAAAGGGCUCGUAGGUGGCCAACUAAGUCAGACGUGAAAUCCCUCGGCUUAACCCGGAAAGGUCAACUGAUACUGCGGGGCUAGAGUGCAGAAGGGGCAACUGGAAUUCUCGGUGUAGCGGUGAAAUGCGUAGAUAUCGAGAGGAACACCUGCGGCGAAGGCGGGUUGCUGGGCUGACACUGACGCUGAACUGCGAAAGCUAGGGGAGCGAACGGG